AAGAAGGCCUUUCGGGUUGUAAAGUACUUUCAGCAGUGAGGAAGGUGGUGCAGUUAAUAGCUGUAUCAUUUGACGUUAGCUGCAGAAGAAGCACCGGCUAACUCCGUGCCAGCAGCCGCGGUAAUACGGAGGGUGCGAGCGUUAAUCGGAAUUACUGGGCGUAAAGCGCAUGCAGGUGGUUUGUUAAGUCAGAUGUGAAAGCCCGGGGCUCAACCUCGGAAUUGCAUUUGAAACUGGCAGACUAGAGUACUGUAGAGGGGGGUAGAAUUUCAGGUGUAGCGGUGAAAUGCGUAGAGAUCUGAAGGAAUACCGGUGGCGAAGGCGGCCCCCUGGACAGAUACUGACACUCAGAUGCGAAAGCGUGGGGAGCAAACAGGAUUAGAUACCCUGGUAGUCCACGCCGUAAACGAUGUCUACUUGGAGGUUGUGGCCUUGAGCCGUGGCUUUCGGAGCUAACGCGUUAAGUAGACCGCCUGGGGAGUACGGUCGCAAGAUUAAAACUCAAAUGAAUUGACGGGGGCCCGCACAAGCGGUGGAGCAUGUGGUUUAAUUCGAUGCAACGCGAAGAACCUUACCUACUCUUGACAUCCUCAGAAGCUUGUAGAGAUACGAGUGUGCCUUCGGGAACUGAGAGACAGGUGCUGCAUGGCUGUCGUCAGCUCGUGUUGUGAAAUGUUGGGUUAAGU
rnacentral:rRNA from 1 species